rnacentral:rRNA from 1 species
GACGAACGCUGGCGGCGUGCUUAACACAUGCAAGUCGAACGGAAAGGCCUCUUUCGGGGGGUACUCGAGUGGCGAACGGGUGAGUAACACGUGAGUAACCUGCCCUUGACUUUGGGAUAACUUCAGGAAACUGGGGCUAAUACCGGAUAGGAGCUCCUGCUGCAUGGUGGGGGUUGGAAAGUUUCGGCGGUUGGGGAUGGACUCGCGGCUUAUCAGCUUGUUGGUGGGGUAGUGGCUUACCAAGGCUUUGACGGGUAGCCGGCCUGAGAGGGUGACCGGCCACAUUGGGACUGAGAUACGGCCCAGACUCCUACGGGAGGCAGCAGGGGGGAAGAUUGCACAAUGGGUGGAAGCCUGAUGCAGCAACGCCGGGUGCGGGAUGACGGCCUUCGGGUUGUAAACCGCUUUCGCUCAUGACGAAGCUUUGUGUGACGGUAGUGGGUAAAGAAGCACCGGCUAACUACGUG